AGAGUUGAUUCUGGCUCAGGAUGAACGCUAGCGACAGGCUAACACAUGCAAGUCGAGGGGCAGCAUAAAAGUAGCAAUACUUGGUGGCGACCGGCGCACGGGUGAGUAACGCGUAUGCAACCUACCUAUCAGAGGGGAAUAACCCGGCGAAAGUCGGACUAAUACCGCAUAAAACAGGGGCACCGCAUGGUGAUAUUUGUUAAAGAAAUUCGCUGAUAGAUGGGCAUGCGUUCCAUUAGGUAGUUGGUGAGGUAACGGCUCACCAAGCCGACGAUGGAUAGGGGAACUGAGAGGUUGGUCCCCCACACUGGUACUGAGACACGGACCAGACUCCUACGGGAGGCAGCAGUGAGGAAUAUUGGUCAAUGGGCGGGAGCCUGAACCAGCCAAGUCGCGUGAAGGAAGAAGGAUCUAUGGUUCGUAAACUUCUUUUGCAGGGGAAUAAAGUGCAGGACGUGUCCUGUUUUGUAUGUACCCUGAGAAUAAGGAUCGGCUAACUCCGUGCCAGCAGCCGC
rnacentral:rRNA from 1 species